GAUGAACGCUAGCGGCAGGCCUAACACAUGCAAGUCGAGGGGUAACUAGAGUGAUAGCAAUAUUACUUUGGCUAGACCGGCGCACGGGUGCGUAACACGUAUGCAACCUACCUUAUACUGGGGAAUAACUUCGAGAAAUCGGCGCUAAUACCCCAUAACAUUGCGAAGAGGCAUCUCUUUGCAAUUAAAGCUCCGGCGGUAUAAGAUGGGAAUGCGUCCAAUUAGCGAGUUGGUGAGGUAACGGCUCACCAAGGCUACGGUUGGUAGGGGUUCUGAGAGGAUGAGCCCCAACACUGGUACUGAGACACGGACCAGACUCCUACGGGAGGCAGCAGUGAGGAAGAUUGCGCAAUGGACGAAAGUCUGACGCAGCCAUGCCGCGUGCAGGAUGACGGCCCUAUGGGUUGUAAACUGCUUUUGUACGGGAAUAAACCCUUCUACGUGUAGGAGGCUGAAGGUACCGUAAGAAUAAGCACCGGCUAACUCCGUGCCAGCAGCCGCCGUAAAAC
rnacentral:rRNA from 1 species